rnacentral:lncRNA from 1 species
GCAGAUUCUCUUACGUCGGAGGCCUCGAUACAUCGAAUGAGAUUCGGAUAAAAUAUCAGGUUAACUGCAUUUUUUUUUUUUUGGAAAACAAGGGUGCCGAUAAGCAUGUCAAUGAGAUGCAGUAGCAUUGGGUAUUGUUGGCAGGUAGAUCUUGUCGCAUCCUUUAAAUUGUCCCUUUCCACAUAUUUUCGUAAUAAAACUACUCAUUCAUUAGGAUAUGCGAGCAAUGACUCGACACCAAAUCGAUAGCAGAAAAAGAAAAUAAUGAAUGCAUAUCAAUUUGCUCUAACGCCACUCUAAAACAUGAUCAAUG